GGUGAACAGACAUGCUGAGCCUCCUGGCUUUGGGCUGGAACAAAAGGAAAGUGGAACAACUGGGCCGCACUUUGAGCCAGAGAUAUCUAAAGAUCAUAAGGAUCUUUAGAGAACAAGUGGAGAGCCUGAAUGCGAGCAGAAAUGAGCUGGGUGUGGAUGACGACACACUGCAGCAAUGGGCUGAAGAAACGGAUCAAACUGAUGGCAGCCUUGGAGCGUUGCAGGCACGAGUAGAGCAGCUUGUCGUCAUCAUCAGAGUGCGAACACAAAGUCUUUACAGACAAAAUGGUGUCACAGUUUCUUUGAAACGGACCGUUUGAUGCUCAGUUUGUACAGCUUGUACAGCUACUUUGUAAACAGAAUAAAAUCAGAUCCAGAUAGCAACAAGAGGCGACACAGAAUUCACAAGGU